rnacentral:rRNA from 1 species
GUAGGGAAUUGUUCGCAAUGGGCGCAAGCCUGACGACGCAACGCCGCGUGGAGGAUGAAGAUCUUCGGGUCGUAAACUCCUGUCGAGCGGGACGAAAGAUUCGCCGGUUCAUACCCGGCGGAAGUGACGGUACCGCUAAAGGAAGCCCCGGCUAACUCCGUGCCAGCAGCCGCGGUAAUACAGAGGUGGCAAGCGUUGUUCGGAAUUACUGGGCGUAAAGGGCGCGUAGGCGGUUCGAUAAGUCCCGUGUGAAAGCCCCCGGCUCAACUGGGGAACUGCACGGGAAACUGACGGACUUGAGUGCGGGAGAGGGAAGCGGAAUUCCGGGUGUAGCGGUGAAAUGCGUAGAUAUCCGGAGGAACACCGGUGGCGAAGGCGGCUUCCUGGACCGACACUGACGCUGAGGCGCGAAAGCUAGGGGAGCAAACGGGAUUAGAUACCCUUGUAGUCC